AGGACGAACGCUGGCGGCGUGCUUAACACAUGCAAGUCGAGCGGAAAGGCCCUUCGGGGUACUCGAGCGGCGAACGGGUGAGUAACACGUGAGCAACCUGCCCUUAGCUCUGGGAUAGCUCCGGGAAACCGGAAUUAAUACCGGAUAUGACCUAGGCCGACAUCGGCCGUGGUGGAAAGUUUUUCGGCUAGGGAUGGACUCGCGGCCUAUCAGCUAGUUGGUGGGGUAAUGGCCUACCAAGGCGACGACGGGUAGCCGGCCUGAGAGGGCGACCGGCCACACUGGGACUGAGACACGGCCCAGACUCCUACGGGAGGCAGCAGUGGGAAUCUUGCGCAAUGGGCGAAAGCCUGACGCAGCGACGCCGCGUGGGGGAUGAAGGCCUUCGGGUUGUAAACCCCUUUCAGCAGGGACGAAGCGAAAGUGACGGUACCUGCAGAAGAAGCGCCGGCUAACUACGUGCCGAGCGAGCCGC
rnacentral:rRNA from 1 species